CCUACGGGAGGCAGCAGUGAGGAAUAUUGGUCAAUGGGCGCGAGCCUGAACCAGCCAAGUAGCGUGAAGGAUGACUGCCCUACGGGUUGUAAACUUCUUUUAUAAAGGAAUAAAGUGAGUCACGUGUGCCUUUUUGCAUGUACUUUAUGAAUAAGGAUCGGCUAAUUCCGUGCCAGCAGCCGCGGUAAUACGGAGGAUCCGAGCGUUAUCCGGAUUUAUUGGGUUUAAAGGGAGCGUAGAUGGGUUGUUAAGUCAGUUGUGAAAUUUUGGGGCUCAACCGUAAAAUUGCAAUGGAUACUGGCAGUCUUGAGUACAGUGGAGGUAGGCGGAAUUCGUGGUGUAGCGGUGAAAUGCUUAGAUAUCACGAAGAACUCCGAUUGCGAAGGCAGCUUGCUAAAGUGCCACUGACAUUGAUGCUCGAAAGUGUGGGUAUCGAACAGGAUUAGAUACCCUGGUAGUC
rnacentral:rRNA from 1 species